rnacentral:tRNA from 1 species
AUUUGUAUAGUUUAAAUAAAACCUUACAUUUUCAUUGUAAAAUUAAAACUAAAGUUUUUUCAAAUA